rnacentral:rRNA from 1 species
AACGAACGCUGGCGGCAGGCUUAACACAUGCAAGUCGAGCGCCCCGCAAGGGGAGCGGCAGACGGGUGAGUAACGCGUGGGAAUCUACCCAUCUCUACGGAAUAACGCAUGGAAACGUGUGCUAAUACCGUAUACGUCCUUCGGGAGAAAGAUUUAUCGGAGACGGAUGAGCCCGCGUUGGAUUAGCUAGUUGGUGGGGUAAAGGCCUACCAAGGCGACGAUCCAUAGCUGGUCUGAGAGGAUGUUCAGCCACACUGGGACUGAGACACGGCCCAGACUCCUACGGGAGGCAGCAGUGGGGAAUAUUGGACAAUGGGCGCAAGCCUGAUCCAGCCAUGCCGCGUGAGUGAUGAAGGCCCUAGGGUUGUAAAGCUCUUUCACCGGUGAAGAUAAUGACGGUAACCGGAGAAGAAGCCCCGGCUAACUUCGUGCCAGCCGCCGCAGUAAUAC